AGAGUUUGAUCCUGGCUCAGGAUGAACGCUAGCGGCAGGCUUAACACAUGCAAGUCGAGGGGCAGCGGGGAGGAAGCUUGCUUUCUCCGCCGGCGACCGGCGCACGGGUGAGUAACACGUAUGCAACCUGCCCCUGUCAGGGGGACAACCCGCCGAAAGGCGGGCUAAACCCGCGUACAUGCCACCGGGGCAUCCCGGAGGCAGGAAAGGCUUCGGCCGGACAGGGAUGGGCAUGCGGCGCAUUAGGCAGUAGGCGGGGUAACGGCCCACCUAACCGACGAUGCGUAGGGGUUCUGAGAGGAAGGUCCCCCACACUGGUACUGAGACACGGACCAGACUCCUACGGGAGGCAGCAGUGAGGAAUAUUGGUCAAUGGUCGGGAGACUGAACCAGCCAAGCCGCGUGAGGGAUGAAGGUACAGAGUAUCGUAAACCUCUUUUGUCAGGGAACAAAGGCGGGGACGCGUCCCCGGAUGAGUGUACCUGAAGAAAAAGCAUCGGCUAACUCCGUGCCAGCAGCCGCGGUAAUACGGAGGAUGAGAGCGUUAUCCGGAUUUAUUGGGUUUAAAGGGUGCGCAGGCGGUCUGUUAAGUCAGCGGUCAAAGCCCGGGGCUCAACCCCGGCCCGCCGUUGAAACUGGCAGUCUCGAGUUGGAGAGAAGUAUGCGGAAUGCGCGGUGUAGCGGUGAAAUGCAUAGAUAUCGCGCAGAACUCCGAUUGCGAAGGCAGCAUGCCGGCUCCACACUGACGCUGAGGCACGAAAGCGUGGGUAUAGAACAGGAUUAGAUACCCUGGUAGUCCACGCAGUAAACGAUGAAUGCUGGCUGUCGGGGGGGACUGACCCCUGGGUGGCGAAGCGAAAGCGAUAAGCAUUCCACCUGGGGAGUACGCCGGCAACGGUGAAACUCAAAGGAAUUGACGGGGGCCCGCACAAGCGGAGGAACAUGUGGUUUAAUUCGAUGAUACGCGAGGAACCUUACCCGGGCUCAAACGGGGAGUGACUCAGGCAGAGACGCCUGUUUCCCACGGGACACUCCCCGAGGUGCUGCAUGGUUGUCGUCAGCUUGUGCCGUGAGGUGUCGGCUUAAGUGCCAUAACGAGCGCAACCCCCGCGUGCAGUUGCUAACAGAUAACGCUGAGGACUCUGCACGGACUGCCGGCGCAAGCCGCGAGGAAGGCGGGGAUGACGUCAAAUCAGCACGGCCCUUACGUCCGGGGCGACACACGUGUUACAAUGGGUGGUACAGCGGGAAGCCAGGCGGCGACGCCGAGCGGAACCCGAAAUCCACUCUCAGUUCGGAUCGGAGUCUGCAACCCGACUCCGUGAAGCUGGAUUCGCUAGUAAUCGCGCAUCAGCCAUGGCGCGGUGAAUACGUUCCCGGGCCUUGCACACACCGCCCGUCAAG
rnacentral:rRNA from 1 species